AAAAUAAAUGGAUAGAAUCUUAAAAUACAUAUAUAUAAACAUACUACUUGCCAUAGUCUUUGGAGAAUCUAUCUAAAGGAUAUGUAUUUUGAGUCAUUUUUCUGGCAGUGGUGAAAAGUUUUUGUAGUGCAGUCUUAGAUUCUUUAUUAGCUAUCUUAGUCAUCUUUGCAAAAUGACUGAUGGGAAGUAGAGGCCACAAAUGCAUAGACGAUAUAGGUUAUGCUGGACUUUGAGCAUAAGAUCCUAGCCUCAGAAUCAACCCAAAGAAAACAUUGAAAUAAUCUCUCAAUUUUUUUUAAAUGUCUACAUUUUGACUAUUCAGUAAUGGAAAUUGCUCCAUGAAAUCCUCUUUGUGUCCUGCCAUUUAUAGUCCAUUUGGUAGAAAACAAAUGUUUUACUUACAGAAUAUAAUCAGAAUAUGGUGGUUAACUUUGCUUUCCUAGAGGGGGGAAAAACACUUUUCUAAAGUUAAGAAAUACUAAAGCUAAUUUUAAUCUCUGUUUCUAAUCUCCCAUUCUAAUCUCUGGUUCUAUGACUUCAACUUUUUUUUUAAGAAUGCACACUAAAGUGACAGCAUGCAAUAUUUGUCUUAAGCAUUCAAAUUAGCGUAAUGCCCUCCAGAUUCAUCCAUGUUGUCACAAAUGGCAGAAUUUCUUCUUUUUUUAAGGUUAGACAGUAUUCCACUUUAUAUGUAAAUGCCACAUUUUCUUUACCCAUUGACAGAUACCUCAGGUCGUUUCCAUACCUUGGCAUUGGUGGGUAAUGCUGCAUUGAACAUGGGAGUGCAGAUGUGUCUCUGACAUAGCGAUUUCUUCUCCUUUCCACACAUUCCCAGAAGUAGGAUUGAUGGAUCAUAUAGUAGUUCUGGUUUUAAUUUCCUGAGGACCCUCUAUACUUUUUUUCCACAGUGGCUGCACCAGUUUACAUUCCCACCAGUGGUAUACAAGGGUUCCGUUUUUUUCCACAUCCUCACCAUUUGUUAUCUCUAGUCUGAGAUAUUAGCCAUCGGUGUAAGGUGAUAUUUUAUUGUGGUUUUGCUUUGCAUUUUUCUGGUGAUUUGUUACAUUAAGCACUUUUUCCUGUACUGUUGGAUAUUUAUUUCUAUGUCUUCUGUGGGAAAAUGUCUAUAUUCAGGUCUUUUCCCAUUUUUUAAUUUAGUUUUUUUGCUAUUGGUUCUGUGAGUUCCUUAUAUGUUGUGGAUAUUGACUCCAUAUCAGAUACUGGCUAGCAAAUAUUUUCUCCCAUUUUCUAGGCUGACUCUUCAUUUUAUUGGUGGUUUUCUUUGUUGUACAGAAGCUUUUUCCUUUGAAGUAGUCCCACUUGUUUAUUUUUGCUUUUGUUGCCUGACGAAGAUAUCAAAUCCAAAAAUUCAUUGCCAAGAUUAAGAUCAAGCAGCUUAUCCCCCAUGUUGUCUUCCAGGAGUUUUACAGUUUUAGGUCUUGUGUUCCAAUCUUUAAUCCAUUUCAAGUUGAUGUGAGAUAGGGGUUCAGUUUCAUUCUUUGCAUGUAGAUACCAAGUUUUCCCAACACCAUUUAUUAAAGAGGUUGUCCUAUCCUGAUUGCAUAUUCUUGGCUCUUUUGUUGAAAAUUGACUGUGCACACGUGGGUUUAUUUCUGGCUCUCUGUUCUGUUCCAUUUGAUCACUGUGUCUGUUUUUAUGCCAGUACCAAACUGUUUUGGUUACUAUAGCUUUGUAUCAUAGUUUGAAAUCAGGACAUGUGCUUACUCCAGCUUUGUUCUUUCUCAGGAUUGCUUUAGAGUCUUACUGUAGUUUCAUACAAAUUUAAGGAUUGUUCUUAAAUGUUUCUUGUGCACUUGACAGUAAUGUGUCUUCUGUGGCUGUUGGGUGGAAUGUUUUGUAUGAACCAGUCAGGUCCAUCUGGUCCAACAUAUUGUUUAAGUUCAGUGUUUUCUGUUGAUUUUGUCAGGAUGAUCUAUCCCUUGUUGAACAUGGGGUAUUGGAGUUCCCUACUAUUAUUGUAUUAUAAGUUAUUUCUCCCUCAAAUCUAUUAAUAUUUGCUUUACAUAGUUGCACUGAUGUUGGAUACAUGAACAUUUACAACUGUUAUAUCCUUCUGAUGAAUUGACCCCUUUACCAUGUCUCUUACUCCUUUGUCUCUUAUUACAGUUUUUGGCUUAAGGUCUAUUUUUUCUGAUAUAAAUAUAGCCAUCUCUGUGUCCUUUUGGUUUCCAUUU